rnacentral:rRNA from 1 species
AUUGAACGCUGGCGGCAGGCCUAACACAUGCAAGUCGAACGGUAACAGGAAGAAGCUUGCUUCUUUGCUGACGAGUGGCGGGCGGGUGAGUAAUGUCUGGGAAACUGCCUGAUGGAGGGGGAUAACUACUGGAAACGGUAGCUAAUACCGCAUAACGUCGCAAGACCAAAGAGGGGGGCCUUCGGGCCUCUUGCCCUCGGAUGUGCCCAGAUGGGAUUAGCUAGUAGGUGGGGUAACGGCUCACCUAGGCGACGAUGCCUAGCUGGUCUGAGAGGAUGACCGGCCACACUGGAACUGAGACACGGUCCAGACUCCUACGGGAGGCAGCAGUGGGGAAUAUUGCACAAUGGGCGCAAGCCUGAUGCAGCCAUGCCGCGUGUAUGAAGAAGGCCUUCGGAUUGUAAAGUACUUUCAGCGGGGAGGAAGGGGGUAAAGUUAAUACCUUUGCUCAUUGACGGUACCCGAAGAAGAAGCACCGGCUAACUACGUG